rnacentral:rRNA from 1 species
UUCUACGGCCAUACUACCCUGAAUGCGCCCGAUCUCGGAAGCUAAGCAGGGUCAGGCCUGGUUAGUACUUAGAUGGGAAAAACAUGGUAAUAUUCACC